rnacentral:lncRNA from 1 species
AUUUUCUUGUUUUCUCAUGUACUUUUCCCUCAGUUCAUUUAGGUGACCUGUCUUUAGUUCCUUGCUCUGCUCGCUGUAAUUGCUUCUUCAGAGUAAUGUUACACGGUGAGCGUGGCACUGCAGCCGGGGGAUGGCUUUAUGGGAGUGAUAAGGACAGCGGAACAGAACAGCAUUUGACUCUGAUAAGGGCAGGAGAACAGCACAGCCUUGCAGAAACAGAUAAAGGAUGUGACUUAGGCAAACAGAAGCCAUGCAAAAUGCAAGGAGGAGCCCAGCCCAGCUCUGCAAGGCUGGCAAAGCAGGAGCUGUGCACAAUGGUGAUGAUAUUGUGCUCACUGAAAAGCAGGGCUUGAGGAACAGCCCCCUAAAAAGGGCACUGGGUGUGAAAACCGACCCUAAAGAACCACCUGAGGACUCCUAUUAAGGGGUGUGACUAUGUAAAACAGACUAAUACACACGCAUCGCUUCUGGAAACAUUCCCAGUGGCUGGACUAUUCAUCAGGGCUGCUACAUCGCUGCUGCUGCUGCAAAGAGGGAAGUACCUUUUUCUCUUCCUCUUUAUUAGCAUGUGCCAUGGUGUGAGGCACAGCACCGGGGAGGGAACCCCACCGUGAGCGGCACUGGGUAAACACAGCCGAGGUGACAGUGACAGUCCUCAUCACAGAGUGUUAGCAAUUCAAACAGCCACGUCAGUCAAGGAAUUGGAGAGAAGGGAAAGCAAAAGGGAGAAUGUGACGGUUUGCAAACACUCCGCCGCACGAUUCUGUCGCAGGUGUUUCAAAGUUUUCUUCAUGUUAAGAAGGAAGAGGGGAGGAAAAAAAAUAUUGUUUGCAGAGGUGCAUCCAGUUUUUCCAUGCUUGGUGAUCAAAGUGGAUCAGCCUUUCUCAAGUUUCCCCUCUUGGAUGUGUGUCUGUGCCAGCAUCCGCUGGGAAUUGGCAUCAAGGCUUCCCUUUGGGCACCUGCAGAAAGCAUUCCUGGGAGUGCACUGCCAGAAGAAAAGUGCUGUGCCAGGCUUCAGACCGUUCCUCUUCCAGCCUUCUCCAUGUUUGUUUGCAUCAUGGGCUCCUUCCUCCCCACACAGCUUUGAAAAGGAAGCCUCACACUUGUCCGUUGCCUUCCCCUUUGCACACACAUCCCUGUGCCUGCGCUCGCUCAGACACACGGGGCUGCGCCGUGCGGCAAAUUGCUUAUACACAUAAAUGGACAAUGAAUGAAGGAGCUGGUUCUGGGGGACAGAGCUUUCUUACUCUGCGGUGCCUUUUGGUCUAUCACAAUCUUGAAGUGGGUAUCCAAUGUCUGGAUAAAUCUGCUGGAAAACAAUAGACAGCCAAUUCCAGUGCCUGGAUGAAGACAAAAACACCCAUCAAAGAAGGACAAAUGCAUGAAGUUCUGCUAAUUCCAAGAUCACCUGAGGGCAAGUUUAGCUGGUGCUGAUGCACACACAGCACCAGGGCUUUGCCAGGUGUCAUCUGCAAUUGGUUGUGAGUAGAAGGUGUUAAAAUGCAAGGGAUAUUUUUUGUGUGGGUGCUGGAGUGAGCUGAGUUUGAUGAGUCAUUGUUGAGUGCACGUUGGAGAAGUCAAUGCAGAGCAGGUGUUAUUGGCAAUUUUGGAGUGAAAGGCAGGAAGUCAAUUGUGGAGACUCCACUACAGCCUACACGGUGUGGAGACACUUUGUACAACAGUAAAAGUGCUAAUACCAAUGAGGACAUUGAUACACACACACAUUGCAAAUGAGCUUCCCCUUUACCAGCACAUUUCAAUUGUGCCCAUUUGCUUUGGUAUUGAAACAGUUACACCAGGCCACUGAACAUGUGAUUACGUUUUUCUCGCCUAUUAAAAUCCCUAUACGAGCCCAUGCUGAUUAGAGAUCCUAUUGUGUGUAUUUAGGGGGGAAAAAAGGCUCUGUAGUGGCUAUGCAUGAGACAGAGUGUGUUCUAGGAGCCAGAGGAUGCCCUGUAAUUUAUGAGAGACAAAGAGGUACAUUAGAUAUUGUUAGAAUACAUAAUAAUCCCCUGGCAAUAAUUUAUUUGGCUUGCAAGGUUAGGAUCUCCAUAAUUCUUGGUUGCACUCUAAUGAAGACUGCUGAUGCUGAUUAUAUAUUUUUGUGUACAUUAGAGGUACCUGUGAAUAUAUGGAUACUGUUCUUGCCUCCUGCCACCUCACUACUCACAGAGCUGCCAGUGGGACUAUAUUGUGUGGUCCAUUUGUCUAAAUAGUCCAGGCAAGUGCAUCAGCUGUAUUGGCUUCUUGUCAGUGGUUCUCUGUAACUUUGGGCCAUAAAAUGAUCCUCUGCAGGUUUCACCUGCUUUUCUCACGCUGUUAGGACACCCCUGGCUCCAGGGUGACUGACACAAACAUCAUCAGGAAGAAAGGGGUUUCAACAGGACAUGCUGUCCCUCUGCAAGUACAGACAAACCAGACUGAUGUUCCCCUGGAAAUUUUAAACUGGGAGCUCAAACCUGAUUAAUUUGUUGGUGGGAUGGUGGGAGAGAAAAGAGUGGAGGAAAUGGAAAAUUCAAAACUUUCCUUCCCCCCAGAACUCUGACUUUUCAUAAAAAUUUUGCUCUGAAAUCAGUUUAUGAUUCCACCUGUAAGGUCAUUUCCAAGUGAUUUAUUACCAUCUGACAGACCGCUCUGGGAUUUUUGGUGACACUACACAGGUCUUUUGAGCUUUAUGUUCAAAUUUAAUGGUGGUCACUGCAGCCAGAGGGAUGAAAAAUACCCAUUCCUUCACCACGGUUUCUUGUACUGGCCUCAGGGAUUAGAAAAGUAGGUCUUUUAUUUAGUUACACUGUCAGCAGCAAUUUGUAUGUGAGUUCAAUUGCUUGGUUUGGAGUUCAAAUAUUCCAGUCUGAAUACAGCUGUGUGGGCUCAUAAAGCAUCCCAAAAUCUGCUCUGCCCUGUGCCCCAUGUCUGCAUGGGGAAUUGUGGUGGUCACUGCUGGGUGUAAACACAGAGGAUGAGGUGGAAGGAAAGCCAGGGAAGAAAAGAAAUCCAUUUUGAUGGAACGAGAGGGAGAACUGGGAAUUCAUGGAUGAGAAUCUUGCUGAGGGCAGCACGGACCUUCCAUGGCUGGGUGUGUUCUGUUCACAUCCUCUUUAAGAAUCAUGGUAAGGAAAGGGUUAAAACUGUUUAACUAUAGGGCUUUUUUGGUGCAUAUUAAUUAGGCACUGCUCUGUUUUAUCACUGUAGUGCACUUUGUACAGCAGUUUUAAAAAUGCUCUGAGUAAUGUUUGCUAUGCUUCCUGCAACCUAAUCUGCCAAAUAAUUUAGGUUAUCCAUGCCACAGAAUUGACUUAACACUGGCAUAGAAAUUAGCCCUGAAGUGCUGCAAGAUCCCAGAGCUGCAGAUUAGGGGUGUCUGAUAAGAGCACAGGCCUAUCAUGAUUUUAUGCAAUGUUUUCAUGUAAUGGUUCUUCUGGUUUUGAAGGCAGUCAGCAUUUUGAUCACGGAGAUGCGUAUUUGAUCCUCACCACCAGAAAAGAGCCAUUGGAAAAGCCACACUGGGCAGGCUGGGCUUUGCAAGGCUCCAGUAUUAAACAGCAGAUCCUUGCUGCAGAGCUGUGUCUGUGGCCUGGAGUCAGGCAAGGUCACUCACCAUGGUAGUGACAGUAAAAAACCUGAAAGUUGUUUUUUUCCCCUUCCUGAUUUCCCAGGUGGUGCAAGGCACUGUGGUUUCUCUGCAGUUGGGUGAGGUUUAUCUGUUCAAUCCACCUCUAGAUCUCCAUCUCCUGUUUCAGAGCAAUAUUCCAUUCCAUUAAUUCUUUCCUGCUGAAGCUCAAUGCAUCUGGUCAGCUUCUGUGGUACAGGGUUCCACAGGAUAAUUAGGAAUGAGCAGAGAAGAAGUGAUCUGGAAAUUAUUAUAAUUAUACACCUUCUUGAAGGACUUUCUAUGGAAAGAGAUUUUUUUUCUUUGAGCAGAGCAUUAAAAUCGACAAGAUUCUUCCACAAGGAAUUUUCUAAGGUUUUUUUUUUCCCAUACUCUUGUCUUCCUUUCCUUUGGCCAAAGCACAUACCAUAACAUUUGCAUGUGCUGUUGCAGCACACAGCUCUUCUGAUCCCACAUCAGGUGUCAAAUCUUUAAUAUGAUUUCCUACAUGUUUGACUAAUCAAUGCAGAACAUCAUCAUGAAAGAUAAUUUUACCCUCUGGCACUUCAGGGACAGGAUAAUGAGGCCUGGUGUUUUCCAUUUUUUAUUCUUCCACAAGAAUCUACAUUUUUUAGUCCCAGCUAAUUGAUUUAAGUUCAUGGAGGAAGGUUUUUUUCCCUUUUGCUUCCAGUAUCUUGGAUAUUAAUGGAUUCUAGUGAGCUAGCAGAGCUGUGUGAUCAGUGUGUUUAGAGAUUCAAUACACUGCCAUCCUGACCUUUCAGAAGCCAAGGGAAAAACAUCAAGCCCAGCAUGUUGAUCCCACGUGAACACUGAAAUCUCAGGCAGCUUGGAGCUGCUUCAGCUGUCUGGAGAGAGGAGUUUUCUCCAGCAAGGGAGAUUUGCUCUCAAAUCAUUUGCCAAACAGGAGGGAAGUUUCUCUCCCAACGCAGUGAGAAGUGGGAGAUUGAAGGCAGAGGUGGAAGGAGAGGGGUGGAAACACUUUCAGAAGAGCUGGGGCACCCAGGUAUUGCUCUGGAGAGCCUGGGCAGGGAGCAUGGCAUGGCAGGGUGAGGGGUGACCAUGGAGCUUCUGCUCCCCUGGCUCCAGCAGGAGUCAUUAUCCUUUUUUGACAAAAAGGGGGUCAGGUUCUGCACUGAUUGUCUGUGGAGCUGAAGGAAUGGGACAAAGCCCUCUCCAGCAGGAGCUGGACUUUGUUCAUCUCAGCAAAAAUAUUUCUUAGUCUAAAUAUCCUUCCCAGAGACAAUGGGAGCUGUUGUUUACUGAUAUGACUGAUCAAACGUUUCCCAACCACUGAUAUUAUCUCUGUUGGCCAUGGAUCCACUAAAUCCACUGGAUGAGACCCAAAAAGAACUAUGUGCCUGCUGCACCAUGUACCUGAGGCUCUAAAAGGUGUGAGUUAGAUGUGUUUUUAUGAAUAACCCAUGCAUUUCUUCAGUAUUUUGCUAUCAUUAACUAGAGUUAUUCUUGUAUUAUUAUUUUUUUUUUAGGGAUGGCAGCAGCUUAUGACAGAUUUGUUUAGGGUUAGCCCUAUACAUAAAUUAAGUGGCAGAUAAAAUUUAAUUUUUCUUAUAAGAAAAGCCUAUAGCUCCUUAAAUUGCUCAUUUAACAUCACUGAAAAGUAAUACUCCACUUUAGAAUGGACAUCGUAUUAACUUUAAAAGGCCUAUUUAAAGUGACGGUUGUCAGUGAGUGAAAGCCAGAUAUGGUAAUUUCGAGUUACAAAUCAGAGUGAGGAAACUGGAGAAUGGACAACCUUGUUAACACAAGCGCGACGGAGGAAGCACCGGGGUCAGAGUGCCAGCACGGAGAGGAAUAAAGACACAGCACCAAAAAUAUGUCCUAUAAUU